ensembl:lncRNA
GGAAAAUCUGAAAAAAUCAAGAUCUCGUCACAUAAAUAUGAUUUGAAUAAAACUAUCUUUUGGCUCAUACUAGCUUUUGGCUCAUUUUCUUUUGGUCGGGAAGUCAAUGGUGACUGGACUGAAGACCUAUCACUGGAUGAACAUCAGACUGUAGAGUCAUGAGUUAUAAAGUCAGGAAAAAAGUCACUGAGAAAAAAAACAAAUUUUUUUUUUUUCUUUUUUUUUUCAGUGGUGGAAACAGGCUUCCAUAGGUCACUGAUUGACAUUUUAUGACACCACCUGUUAUUUAUUUAUUUACAGACUUCAGUUCAUGCCGUUAUGAAAUCAGCACUCAGCUGGGAAGGCUUUUGAACUGUUUAUGCAGCAACUCGUUUGGACAAUGGCCUUCAGGCAGCAGUAAAACUCGCCUCCAGCAGGAACAUGAAUUCAUCAGCAUUGCACAGAAGAGUACAGCCCUCCCGAGUAUCUGUUCACUGGCAAGUACCACGGGGAACCGGCCACGGUGUGGUCACACGGGAUACUCUUGCUUGUAAUACUCUUCUGGAAAUUUCAGAGGAGACGAGACCUUUGCAAGAUCAAUGAUAAAAUCUGGACCAAAGAUGGCUUGUUGCAAUGUGAGGUCUUCAUUUCAGCUUCAUUUAUUUACUCUAAAUCUUACUAGAACAAAUAUAUGAGGCAGAAAAAGCAACUUCUGAGUCUAGUGGCUUAGUUGAUGUAAUUUUGAUAAAUUUACUGUCAAUCAGAAGAUUUUAGUGUGAAGUUUAAGGUAAUAAUCAGACUAAAAUCUCUCUAAAAUCUAGCGCUGUCACAUUGUGAAACUGAAUGAUUUGUAAAUUAUGCUUGGCGGGCCAUAUUAUACGCUUCAAUAGCUGUGGGCCAUUUGAAAUUCAUCCAUGGGCUGGACUUUGGACACCCCUGCCUUAUCAUAUCUGAUAUUUUGAGAGACUUAGUGACUUUGUGAAUGUUUGAGUGUUUUUGCUCUAUAUUUCACCAAUAAAAAUGUCCAAAUAAAAAAGGGCAUCUCCCAGCAUGAUUCAGCAUUUUUGAAAUAAGGUAAAAUUACAGUAUGUUAAUAUAAAUAUAUAUAUAUUAAAAAUACAGAAACUAAAUUAUUUAAAAAAGUGAAGCUUCUGAAAGCACUGAAGGAAAUCCCAUAUUAAUGUAAUAUAGAUUUCGAGUAGUAACAACAAAUGACAUUUUAUUAUAUGAUAUGAUUAAUAUUAAAUAGGAUAGUUUCAUGAUAAAAAUGGUGAUUAUCUCUAAUGUGGGGACAGCCAGCCUAAUAUAUAUUAGCACCUAUGACACAGCCUUGAAUGUCAGCAGAGACCAUGUUGACUAGACCUCUUCACCUCGACGACUAUCGGCACAAGACCACAGGAACCAGAUCAGUCCUCCGCACAAUCUGACCUGUGUUGCAGCCUGGAUUUAAACCAUGCCAGGCUGGUUUUGUCUGGCCAGAGAAGAACUGGCUUCCUGACUGAGCCUGGUUUCUUUUAAGUGUUUUUCUCUCCACUGUCGCCUUUGGCUUGCUUAGUUGGGGACGCUUGACAGAUUGCACAGACAUUAUUGGAAGAGAGCUGAACUGGAUGAUGACACCAUUGAAUCAUCAAUGAACUGGCUUUAGCUGGAAAAUGACUCUGUUAUUGUCUUCUUGCGUUAUUGACAAACUAUUAUCCUGUUUGACACUGUAAAGCUGCUUUGACACUAUCAGUUUUGUGUUUAAGUGCUAUAUAAAUAAAGGCGACUUGACUUGAUUUACCAUCUGAAUCUAACCAUGUCAACAAAUGGAAAAGUCAGCCAGCUAUUUAUUAUCACGUUAAUAAUUGUGCCUAUCAACCCAACAGCAGGGGCGCCUUUUUACCCCAAAUACCAUACUUUUACAUAUUCUUCCAUUAUUAUUUAAUUACAUUAAACAAAACUGUAAAUCAUUAAUAAGGCCUAGCUUUGACUCAAAAUAUAUUCAGUAAUUUUAGCGAUUCCCAUUUGCUACUUAAAUCUACUAAAUUUUUAAUGAUGCACGUGCAUCUUGAAAAGCGGAUGUCUUAGAAAGUGUUUUUAUCUAGUGGUUUAAAUGAAAAUAAAAUCAAAGCAGCUUUUAUUCCCGUUGUACCCUACAUAGCUUUACACACUGGAAAAUGUAUUUUUGCUGAUUAUAUAAUUAUAAAUGAUAACAGAAAUAACUAGGGAUGUAACGAUUCACUCAACUCACUAUGCGACAAAAUACACGACACUGAUUGCACGAUACGAUUUUC